rnacentral:rRNA from 1 species
CCUUCCGUAGGGGAACCUGCGGAAGGAUCAUUAGUGAAUAUAGGACGUCCAACUUAACUUGGAGUCCGAACUCUCACUUUCUAACCCUGUGCACUUGUUUGGGAUAGUAACUCUCGCAAGAGAGCGAACUCCUAUUCACUUAUAAACACAAAGUCUAUGAAUGUAUUAAAUUUUAUAACAAAAUAAAACUUUCAACAACGGAUCUCUUGGCUCUCGCAUCGAUGAAGAACGCAGCGAAAUGCGAUAAGUAAUGUGAAUUGCAGAAUUCAGUGAAUCAUCGAAUCUUUGAACGCACCUUGCGCUCCAUGGUAUUCCGUGGAGCAUGCCUGUUUGAGUGUCAUGAAUACUUCAACCCUCCUCUUUCUUAAUGAUUGAAGAGGUGUUUGGUUUCUGAGCGCUGCUGGCCUUUACGGUCUAGCUCGUUCGUAAUGCAUUAGCAUCCGCAAUCGAACUUCGGAUUGACUUGGCGUAAUAGACUAUUCGCUGAGGAAUUCUAGUCUUCGGAUUAGAGCCGGGUUGGGUUAAAGGAAGCUUCUAAUCAGAAUGUCUACAUUUUAAGAUUAGAUCUCAAAUCAGGUAGGACUACCCGCUGAACUUAAGCAUAUCAAUAAGCGGAGGA